CCUACGGGUGGCAGCAGUGAGGAAUAUUGGUCAAUGGCCGCAAGGCUGAACCAGCCACGUCGCGUGAAGGAAGAAGGAUCUAUGGUUUGUAAACUUCUUUUAUAGGGGAAUAAAGGUAUCCACGUGUGGAUAUUUGCAUGUACACUAUGACUAAGCAUCGGCUAACGUCGUGCCAGCAGCCGCGGUAAUACGGAGGGUGCGAGCGUUAUCCGGAUUUAUUGGGUUUAAAGGGUGCGUAGGUUGGUUUUUAAGUCAGCGGUGAAAGUUUGUGGCUCAACCAUGCAAUUGCCGUUGAAACUGGAAGACUUGAGUGUGGUUGAGGUAGGCGGAAUGCGUGGUGUAGCGGUGAAAUGCAUAGAUAUCACGCAGAACACCGAUUGCGAAGGCAGCUUACUGGGCCAUAACUGACGCUGAGGCACGAAAGCGUGGGGAGCAAACAGGAUUAGAUACCCCAGUAGUC
rnacentral:rRNA from 1 species